rnacentral:rRNA from 1 species
UACGGAGGGUGCGAGCGUUGUUCGGAAUCACUGGGCGUAAAGGACGUGUAGGCGGUCCGCUAAGUCUGAUGUGAAAGCCCGGGGCUCACCCCCGGAAGGGCAUUGGAAACUGACGGACUCGAGUCCCGAAGAGGAGGGUGGAAUUCCUGGUGUAGCGGUGAAAUGCGUAGAUAUCAGGAGGAACACCGGUGGCGAAGGCGGCCCUCUGGACGGUGACUGACGCUGAGACGCGAAAGCGUGGGGAGCAAACAGG